UUAGCGCUCCAUCAAACAUGACCUAGAUGUGCUAAAUUGACCUAAAAUUAAUCGAUUAUGACUAACCGAUGCAACACUCCUUAUCUUUUCCAGGGGCAAAAUACUGAAUCGGUGACUGGAAUAUAGCAUUUUGAACCCAUCAAUUGAUGACUGGAUUGGAGUAUUUUCACUAGCAAAUUUCAAAUAAAAAUGGUUUUUCUCUUUCAUUGAUUUUCUUCAUUCAUUAACUGGUAAGGUCGUUCUAGUAUUUUCUUUCCAGCACCUCCAUCUACCUCCCUGAAACUCCGAGAACUUAUCCUCCCCAUUUGUGUUCUGCACCAAUUAAGUAUCAAUAUGCAAAUUACAUGAAUCCCGAUUAUGCAAAUACAAGCAAUGGAUCAUUAAGGCUUCAAUUGAUCAAGCAGAGAUCCGACUUCUCUAUGAAAUUGGCUCGAUCCGAUGACUAAAAUGAGAUAGCCUGAUGGGCAAAAUGUCGAGUGACAAAACACUUGGAUGUAGAGACGAUGCUUUCAACACAUUCUUCAGCGAAACCUGGGCAAGAAAUUAACUACGUCCCACGUGCCAUUUUCAGGUGUGAGCAACUUGGAGUACAAAUUAGAGAUGUGUCCACUCCAUCUCACUAUUUCAACUCUUUGCUAUCUCGGUUAUUUGUUUCGGAAGGUUACAGUCAAGAGAGUGAGAAUUCUUAGUUAUGUUAGCUUAAGGAAACUCUUAUGUUAAGCAAGAAUUCUAGGUUUAUGUUAGCUUAGAAAAACUCUGAUGUUAGAUUUCAUUCCACUAAGGUUCUUAUUUGCUAUGUCUGAAUGCAACUAAUGGAAUUACACAGGUUUGAUAACAUAUGUUGUGUUAGACUAUUUUAUGAACUUGGUUAGGUGGACCAUGUUUGAAGUUUAUUCUUAGAACAUAAAAUUU